UACGUAGGGUGCAAGCGUUAAUCGGAAUUACUGGGCGUAAAGCGUGCGCAGGCGGUUAUGUAAGACAGAUGUGAAAUGCCCGGGCUUAACCUGGGAACCUGCAUUUGUGACUGCAUGGCUAGAAUCUGGCAGAGGGGGGUAGAAUUCCACGUGUAGCAGUGAAAUGCGUAGAGAUGUGGAGGAACACCGAUGGCCGAAGGCAGCCCCCUGGGUCAAGAUUGACG
rnacentral:rRNA from 1 species